rnacentral:misc_RNA from 1 species
CUCCUCAAGAGACAGUUUGAAGCUAUCAAAGCUGAUAACGAUGCACUCAAAGCUCAGAACCAGAAGCUUCAUGCAGAGAUAUUGGCACUGAAAAGCAGGGAACCAACUGAGUCUAUUAACCUCAAUAAAGAAACCGAGGGUUCUUGCAGUAAUAGAAGUGAAAACAGCUCUGAAAUCAAACUGGAUAUCUCAAGGACACCAGCUAUUGAUAGCCCCCUAUCUAAUCA